UUUACUACGGACACCGUUCAA
ensembl:piRNA 21ur-6047 ncRNA